AACGCUGGCGGCGUGCUUAACACAUGCAAGUCGAACGGAUUGUCAUUGAUAGCUUGCUAGAGAUGACAGUUAGUGGCGGACGGGUGAGUAACACGUGGAUAAUCUGCCUGACACAAUGGGAUAACACAGUGAAAACGGUGCUAAUACCAUAUACGCUCAUAACAUCGAUGAUGAGAUGAGGAAAGGGGAAACCCGGUGACAGAUGAGUCCGCGGCUGAUUAGCUAGUUGGUGGGGUAAUGGCUCACCAAGGCGACGAUCAGUAGCCGGCCUGAGAGGGUGAACGGCCACACUGGGACUGAGACACGGCCCAGACUCCUACGGGAGGCAGCAGUGGGGAAUUUUCCGCAAUGGACGAAAGUCUGACGGAGCAACGCCGCGUGAGUGAUGAAGGCCUUCGGGUUGUAAAACUCUGUCUUAUGGGAAGAAGAAAGUGACGGUACCAUAGGAGGAAGCCACGGCUAACUACGUGCCAGCAGCCGCGGUAAUACGUAGGUGGCGAGCGUUGUCCGGAAUCACUGGGCGUAAAGGGCGCGUAGGCGGUUAAUUAAGUCAGGUGUGAAAACUUUGGGCUCAACCCAGAGACUGCACCUGAUACUGGAUGACUUGAGUGCAGGAGAGGACAGUGGAAUUCCUAGUGUAGCGGUGAAGUGCGUAGAUAUUAGGAGGAACACCAGUGGCGAAGGCGGCUGUCUGAACUGUAACUGACGCUGAGGCGCGAAAGCGUGGGGAGCGAACAGGAUUAGAUACCCUGGUAGUCCACGCCGUAAACGAUGGGUACUAGGUGUAGGAGGUAUCGACCCCUUCUGUGCCGGAGUUAACACAAUAAGUACCCCGCCUGGGGAGUACGGCCGCAAGGUUGAAACUCAAAUGAAUUGACGG
rnacentral:rRNA from 1 species